GGUUUCAUUAACAUUUUAGUUUUACUGACUUCCUGUACACAGGCUGGAAACUACCGGAAGACUAAAAUUGCGCCAAAAUUCAUGAGAAUUUUGUGGGGUUUUUAGCAGCUGGCUUGUUGGAAUAUCUGCCCUGCUCAAAAAUGGCUCCAGUGGUUAUAAACAGGUGGUGGCAUGGCAGAAUGGUUUUGUGGCAACUGCAAGCAUAUGACAGCUUAAUUUUCUUCCACAAGGUUGUGAGGCCAGUUUGCAGGUGAUGCUAAAGGUAAUAAAUUUACAGCAGCAGCUGACACACAGGCAACACAUGCAGUGCCUUGUUAAUUGUCAAAAUAAAUGUUUCUGUGCCUCUUGUGCUGUAAUGUUAAACAGAUCUAUCAAUGUGAAGAAAG